rnacentral:rRNA from 1 species
UACGGGGGGUGCAAGCGUUACUCGGAAUCACUGGGCGUAAAGAGCAUGUAGGCGGAUUAAUAAGUUUGAAGUGAAAUCCUAUAGCUUAACUAUAGAACUGCUUUGAAAACUGUUGAUCUAGAAUGUGGGAGAGGUAGAUGGAAUUUCUGGUGUAGGGGUAAAAUCCGUAGAGAUCAGAAGGAAUACCGAUUGCGAAGGCGAUUUACUGGAACACAAUUGACGCUGAGAUGCGAAAGCGUGGGGAGCAAACAGGAUUAGAUACC